ACAGUGGUGGUUCAGUGGUGGAAUUCUCAUCUUCCAUGAAAGAGCCUCAGGUUCAAUUCCUGACCAAUGCA
rnacentral:tRNA from 1 species